ACGGAGGCGUUCAAAGGUUCGCUCAGCUUGAACGGAAAUCAAGCAAAAGAGUGCAAACGCAGAAGCGAGCCUAACUGCGAGACUGACGGGUCGAGCAGUAACGAAAGUUGGAGUUAGUGAUCCGGUGGUAUGUGAGUGGAAAUGCCAUCGCUCAACGGAUAAAAGUUACCCUGGGGAUAACAGGCUGAUCUCCCCCAAGAGUCCACAUCGACGGGGAGGUUUGGCACCUCGAUGUCGGCUCAUCGCAUCCUGGGGCUGUAUUCGGUCCCAAGGGUUUGGCUGUUCGCCAAUUAAAGCGGUACGCGAGCUGGGUUCAGAACGUCGUGAGACAGUUCGGUCCCUAUCUGUCGUGGGCGCAGGAUAUUUGAAAGGCGCUGUCCCUAGUACGAGAGGACCGGGAUGGACGAACCUCUGGUGCACCAGUUGUCACGCCAGUGGCACAGCUGGGCAGCUAUGUUCGGAUCGGAUAAACGCUGAAAGCAUCUAAGCGUGAAGCCGGCCUUAAGAUAAGAUAUCCCACUGAGAUAAUCAGGUAAGACCCCUUGAAGACUACAAGGUUGAUAGGCACAAUGUGUAAGUGGCGUGAGUCAUUGAGCAAGCGUGUACUAAUAGGUCGAGGGCUUGACCCC
rnacentral:rRNA from 1 species